rnacentral:rRNA from 1 species
AAUAAAAAUUAUGAAAGCAAAAAAUUAUGGCGGUAUUUUAAGCUUUUCAGAGGAAUUUGCUCUUUAAUGGAUAAAACACCUAAAUCUUACUUAAAUUUGUUAAUUCAAUUUGUAUACCACUAUAAAAACAAUUUAUAACUUUAAUUGUUUAAAUUUAUUAAAUUAAAAUAUAUUAAGUCAAGGUGCAGUAAAAAUUUAAGAAUGAAGUGAAUUACAUUACUCUUUAGAGAAAUAAAUUUAAAAUAAUAUUUAGGAUUUGAAAGUAAAAUUAAAAUAGAAUGUUGGUUUGAAUUAAGCUCUAAAAUAUGUACAUAUCGCCCGUCACUCUUUUAUAAGAUAAGUCGUAACAUAGUA